CAACCUGCCCACCACUUGGGGAUAACCUUGCGAAAGUAAGACUAAUACCCAAUGAUAUCUCUAGAAGACAUCUGAAAGAGAUUAAAGAUUUAUCGGUGAUGGAUGGGGAUGCGUCUGAUUAGCUUGUUGGCGGGGUAACGGCCCACCAAGGCAACGAUCAGUAGGGGUUCUGAGAGGAAGGUCCCCCACAUUGGAACUGAGACACGGUCCAAACUCCUACGGGAGGCAGCAGUGAGGAAUAUUGGUCAAUGGACGAGAGUCUGAACCAGCCAAGUAGCGUGCAGGAUGACGGCCCUAUGGGUUGUAAACUGCUUUUAUAAGGGAAUAAAGUGAGUCUCGUGAGACUUUUUGCAUGUACCUUAUGAAUAAGGACCGGCUAAUUCCGUGCCAGCAGCCGCGGUAAUACGGAAGGUCCGGGUGUUAUCCGGAUUUAUUGGGUUUAAAGGGAGCGUAGGCCGGAGAUUAAGCGUGUUGUGAAAUGUAGACGCUCAACGUCUGCACUGCAGCGCGAACUGGUUUCCUUGAGUACGCACAAAGUGGGCGGAAUUCGUGGUGUAGCGGUGAAAUGCUUAGAUAUCACGAAGAACUCCGAUUG
rnacentral:rRNA from 1 species